rnacentral:rRNA from 1 species
CAGUCGCCGCGGUAAUACAGAGGGUGCAAGCGUUAAUCGGAUUUACUGGGCGUAAAGGGCGCGUAGGUGGUUAUGUAAGUGAGAUGUGAAAUCCCCGGGCUCAACCUGGGAACUGCAUCUUAUACUGCGUAGCUGGAGUGCAGUAGAGGGUAGUGGAAUUUCCGGUGUAGCGGUGAAAUGCGUAGAGAUGUGGAGGAACACCAGUGGCGAAGGCGACUCUCUGGUCUGUAACUGACGCUGAGGAGCGAAAGCGUGGGGAGCGAACAGGAUUAGAUACCCCCGUAGUCCCUGUCUCUUAUAC